rnacentral:rRNA from 1 species
UGGGGAAUAUUGCACAAUGGGCGCAAGCCUGAUGCAGCCAUGCCGCGUGUAUGAAGAAGGCCUUCGGGUUGUAAAGUACUUUCAGUCGGGAGGAAGGUGGUAAGGUUAAUAACCUUAUCAAUUGACGUUACCGACAGAAGAAGCACCGGCUAACUCCGUGCCAGCAGCCGCGGUAAUACGGAGGGUGCAAGCGUUAAUCGGAAUUACUGGGCGUAAAGCGCACGCAGGCGGUUUGUUAAGUCAGAUGUGAAAUCCCCGGGCUCAACCUGGUAACUGCAUCUGAUACUGGCAAGCUUGAGUCUCGUAGAGGGGGGUAGAAUUCCAGGUGUAGCGGUGAAAUGCGUAGAGAUCUGGAGGAAUACCGGUGGCGAAGGCGGCCCCCUGGACGAAGACUGACGCUCAGGUGCGAAAGCGUGGGGAGCAAACAGG